rnacentral:tRNA from 1 species
GGCCCCAUAGUAUAAUGGCUAGUAUACCGGGCUUUCAUCCCGGAGAUUGGAGUUCGAUCCUCCAUGGGGCUA